rnacentral:lncRNA from 1 species
AUAAUAUAGAAGAAGAAGAAGAAGAAGAAGAAGAAGAUGCUUUAUUUCCAUAAAAUGGGCUCACAAGGAGCAUAAUAUAAUAUCAUUGUAAUAUAAUAUUCUUUUACAAAUAUAAUAAACAACACAUAGUUACAAACACAAAUAAGAAACAACAGUUAUCACAUAUUAGUAUAUAUAUAAAACCAUUGUCUCAGGCACACCUCUGGAAAGUAACAAAAAAGAAUACUGUGAGUAGGCUAAAUAUAUCUAGCUGAACUGCAAGAGGCACCAAGGGACGGUGCUAUAUGGCAUGGUGGGUUCAUAUUAAAAUGUGUAUCGGGAC